rnacentral:misc_RNA from 1 species
UUUCCGUAGGUGAACCUGCGGAAGGAUCAUUCAUAAUAAGUGUUUUAUGGCACUUUUUUAAAUCCAUAUCCACCUCGUGUGCAAUGUCAGGGUUAAUUUUUCUCUCGAGAGGAUCAACCCCAAACAUCAACUAUAUCUCAACUCUUUGUCUAAAAAAUAUUAUGAAUAAAACAAUUCAAAAUACAACUUUCAACAACGGAUCUCUUGGCUCUC